UACGUAGGGUGCAAGCGUUGUCCGGAAUUAUUGGGCGUAAAGAGCUCGUAGGCGGUUUGUUCGCGUCUGCUGUGAAAAACCCGAGGCUCAACCUCGGGCCUGCAGUGGGUACGGGCAGACUAGAGUGCGGUAGGGGAGAUUGGAAUUCCUGGUGUAGCGGUGGAAUGCGCAGAUAUCAGGAGGAACACCAAUGGCGAAGGCAGAUCUCUGGGCCGUAACUGACGCUGAGGAGCGAAAGCAUGGGGAGCGAACAGG
rnacentral:rRNA from 1 species